AUGCUCACUUCAACAGCACAUAUGCUAAAAUUGGAACAAUACCAAGAAGAUUAUCGUGGUCCCUGUGCAAGCAUGCCAUGCAAAUUAGUAUAUUGUCUGUGUGUGU